GACACCGAACUGGGCUCCAGUGUCACCCUGCCACAGACACCGCACUGGGGCACUGCUGUCACCGGCACUGAACCUGGGCACCAGCGUCACCCUGUCACCGGCACUGAACCUGGGCACCAGCGUCACCCUGUCACCGGCACUGAACCUGGGCACCAGCGUCACCCUGUCACCGACACCAAAUCUGGGUGCCAGUGUCACCUGUCACCCACACCAAAUCUGGGUGCCAGUGUCACCUGUCACCCACACCAAAUCUGGGUGCCAGUGUCACCUGUCACAGACACUGAAUCUGUCACAGACAAGAAACAGAAUUUUUGUUCACAAAAGGCAAGGGUCUACAGAGGCGAUUGGCUGGGCAGGAGCUGUGUCCUAACGAUUAUCCCAGGAUCCUGCAGAUGCUGGAACACAGCGUCAGCCCCUCAGAGCAACCCCCUACAACAAAGGUUAAGUCUAAGGGCGUGUUCCUUACGGGUGAAACGCAGUGAGAGGCUGCACGAGCAAACGAGCUUGUAGCUGCUCCUGUCUACUGAAGAUUAUAUUGCACACUGACCUCAGGCAGUUCUAAUGCGUACAAGAGCUAAUGAGAUUGCUCUGCAUUCAGGCAGUCCAGGGCAGUAGCAGCUGAUGCAGCAAUCUGAGCGUACACCUGGACCAGCACAGCUGGACUGAGGAAACCACGGUCUGUACUUCCAGGUAUCAGCUCUGUGGAAGAACCUUGCAAAUCUCAGAGAGCCAGGGAGCAAAAAAAUGCUCUUGUGUAGAGGAUAUCCUGUGACCAAGGAGA